rnacentral:lncRNA from 1 species
GUUUGGUUUCAUAACAACCCACUAAGGAGCAGUAAAUAAGCAUCCUGCUGAAGUGAAGCUCUGAGAGACGUUGAACUGGCUUCAGUCAGAGCAUCCUGCAUUUAAAUCUUGGAUACAAGCUUCUUCCUCCUGACCCAGUUUAAUGCUACAAGUAUGAAGGGUGAAGGAGAGUACUUUGCAUAUUGGAGUCACUUGGGACUUGUGUGGGAAGGCUUUUGUUUUGCCUAAUUUCACAAGGUGACAAGAGUUCACUCCUCAGCUGGAAGAUAAACUUAGAUAAAUUAACUGAAAACCAUUUUUCACUCUUUCUCACUUCACCUCCAACACACUUUCCUUUUAGAAUGGCUUCUGCCUGUUCCUUUAAGUUCCUCCACUUGCCAAAAAAAAAAAAACGUAGAUGACGCCUGCUGUCAAAAUUUCAUUUAGACAGAGAGCUAUACUGUUUAAAAGGUAGAGACCCCCUACAUUUUUAUUCUGUGAAGGUCAUAUGAUCUAUGGCACAGAAUAGUUAAGCCUCAUUCAUACUUGCCUCCUCAUACCAGGACAGGGAAUGUUCUCUAUCUGUUUCUCUCUCUGAGCACCAGUGCCCUUAAUUCUAAAAUGAAGGGGUAAGGAAAAAAUGUAAGAGUAAAUAUCACUAAGCAUAAUAUGUAACAUGUAAAAGCUCUGAAUACAUGGUAGUAAUUAAUGUUUGAUAUUUGUAUAUUAUAUAUAAUGAUAGAUGUUUUUCACUGAUGUUUCCUGUGCAGUUAGCGGUUACCCAACUUUGUUGUAAGUUUUUCUAAUGAAGCAUUGAUGACUUAAACUCUCUGCCUCAAAUCCUAUCUUUGGACUUAUGUUGUAAAUUAAAGGAUUGUACAUUCUUAAUGUAGACCUGAGUUAGGAUAUUCUAUUCUAUUCUAUUUAUUUUUAAAUGUAUGUCCCAAAUUUUACUGCAGAAAAUGUGAUCACUUUUUCCAUAAAUAAUAAAAACAGAAAAUGUCUCAAGUAUCUUUUGAUUUAAC